rnacentral:rRNA from 1 species
AGAAUCAACGCUGGCGGCGUGCCUAACACAUGCAAGUCGAACGAGAAAGUGGAGCAAUCCAUGAGUAAAGUGGCGCACGGGUGAGUAACACGUGACUAACCUACCCUUGAGUGGGGGAUAACUUAGGGAAACCUGGGCUAAUACCGCAUAAUACCUUCGGGUCAAAUGAGCAAUUCGCUUAAGGAGGGGGUCGCGGCCGAUUAGUUAGUUGGCGGGGUAAUGGCCCACCAAGACUGUGAUCGGUA